ACGGAGGGUGCGAGCGUUGUCCGGAAUCACUGGGCGUAAAGGGCGCGUAGGUGGCCCGCGCAAGCGUGCGGUGAAAGCCCGGGGCUCAACCCCGGGUCGGCCGUGCGGACUGCGGGGCUGGAGCACUGUAGGGGCGGGUGGAAUUCCGGGUGUAGCGGUGGAAUGCGUAGAGAUCCGGAAGAACACCGGUGGCGAAGGCGGCCCGCUGGGCAGUUGCUGACACUGAGGCGCGACAGCGUGGGGAGCAAACAGGA
rnacentral:rRNA from 1 species